rnacentral:rRNA from 1 species
AACGAACGCUGGCGGCAGGCCUAACACAUGCAAGUCGAGCGCCCUUUCGGGGGAGCGGCGGACGGGUGAGUAACGCGUGGGAAUAUGCCCUUCUCUACGGAAUAGCCUCGGGAAACUGAGAGUAAUACCGUAUACGCCCUGUGGGGGAAAGAUUUAUCGGGGAAGGAUUAGCCCGCGUUGGAUUGGGUAGUUGGUGGGGUAAUGGCCUACCAAGCCGACGAUCCAUAGCUGGUUUGAGAGGAUGAUCAGCCACACUGGGACUGAGACACGGCCCAGACUCCUACGGGAGGCAGCAGUGGGGAAUCUUAGACAAUGGGGGCAACCCUGAUCUAGCCAUGCCGCGUGAGUGAUGAAGGCCUUAGGGUUGUAAAGCUCUUUCAGCUGGGAAGAUAAUGACGGUACCAGCAGAAGAAGCCCCGGCUAACUCCGUG